GACGUAGGGGACGAGCGUUGUCCGGAUUCAUUGGGCGUAAAGCGCGCGUAGGCGGUUUGGUAAGUCGGGUGUGAAAUCUCGGGGCUUAACUCCGAAACUGCAUUCGAUACUACCGUGCUUGAGGACUGGAGAGGAGACUGGAAUUUACGGUGUAGCGGUGAAAUGCGUAGAUAUCGUAAGGAAGACCAGUGGCGAAGGCGGGUCUCUGGACAGUUCCUGACGCUGAGGCACGAAGGCCAGGGGAGCAAACGGG
rnacentral:rRNA from 1 species